GAAUAUGACUACUUACACCCAUUUGCUGUUGCAUUUCAGCAAUUCUACGUGCUCUUAUUGCUUCAAGCUCACUGUCACCCAUCUUUGAUUCCAGUAAUACAGAUUUUAUAUUAACAAAAAAUUGAUAUUAGUUCGACUUUCGACUGGCAGUCCGCAUGAGCUGUUGAGUUGAAUCGGAAUUGAUUGGAAAUUGUCUUACAGCCUUACAGGAUAAGGAAAAGUUAUUUAUUUUACCAGUUAGUAAUACAGAGACAAGGCGACCAGAAGAGGAAAGCAGAAAGAGGCUAAUUUUGUGAAGAAACUUUGGUAAUUUCAUUAAAGUUCCCUCUGAAAUUGUUGCAGUGAACUGGGUAUUCAGUCCCACCUUAUUCCAUUCGUGUUAGCUGUGCAGAUGUUGUUAGCACUUGUGAGACUGUGACUAAGGAGGAAUUACGACGAGACAGAAUAAGAAGAGGAUAUUUGCGAUCCAUUUAAUCUAGUGAGCUAAGUACUGCACUAACAGAAAAUGGCACUUGGGUUUUUGGCUGGCUUUGCAUCUGGGACUCUUUUUGGUGUAUAUCUUUCCCAGCAUUAUGAUAUUCCAGAUGUAGCCAACUUGCUGGCAACAUUCAAAGAAGCUUCCAAGAAAUAUGAGAAGAAGGACGACAAGAAAGAUUCAUAACCAUGAUUCUUUAAAGAUUCCAGGAUAUUUGUAAUGUGGUGGUGAUGGCUUAUCCAUUGGACCUAUUCUCAUCAUCCUUGGGCCACCUUGAAAGACCUCUAUUCUUGUAAUUCCAUAUAAAAA